CUUCCUUGUGUCAAAUCCCACAAGGAAAGAACUGGCUGUACUGGAAAAAGAUCGCUCACUGAUGUCGUCCCUUUGUCCCAAUUCAACGAUAACAUCCUUUUAUCAGAUUAUAACAUGCUUGAGGAUGUUAAGAGAGUUGCUGAAUCAGCUAAAAGAAUGAGACAGAAGCUAUGUGGCUACUCUCAUUUUAGGCUUCCUUUACAUCUGAAGAAUCUUCUGCGAGCUGGUUUGAAUCGUAAGACCAAAUUACUCUUUGUAUCAAGCGGAAUGUCGAGAAGAGAGAAAAAUCAAACUUAUUACAAUAAAAGG